rnacentral:rRNA from 1 species
AACGAACGCUGGCGGCAUGCCUAACACAUGCAAGUCGAACGAACCCUUCGGGGUUAGUGGCGCACGGGUGCGUAACGCGUGGGAAUCUGCCCUUUGCUUCGGAAUAACAGUUAGAAAUGACUGCUAAUACCGGAUGAUGUCUUCGGACCAAAGAUUUAUCGGCAAAGGAUGAGCCUGCGUAGGAUUAGGUAGUUGGUGGGGUAAAGGCCUACCAAGCCGACGAUCCUUAGCUGGUCUGAGAGGAUGAUCGGCCACACUGGGACUGAGACACGGCCCAGACUCCUACGGGAGGCAGCAGUGGGGAAUAUUGGACAAUGGACGCAAGUCUGAUCCAGCAAUGCCGCGUGAGUGAUGAAGGCCUUAGGGUUGUAAAGCUCUUUUACCAGGGAUGAUAAUGACAGUACCUGGAGAAUAAGCUCCGGCUAACUCCGUGCCAGCAGCCGCAGUAAAAC